rnacentral:rRNA from 1 species
AUUGAACGCUGGCGGCAUGCCUAACACAUGCAAGUCGAACGGCAGCACAGCAGUAGCAAUACUGUGGGUGGCGAGUGGCGGACGGGUGAGGAAUACGUCGGAAUCUGCCCAGUCGUGGGGGAUAACUAGCCGAAAGGUUAGCUAAUACCGCAUACGACCGAGAGGUGAAAGCGGGGACCGCAAGGCCUCGCGCGAUUGGAUGAGCCGACGUCGGAUUAGCUAGUUGGCGGGUAAAGGCCCACCAAGGCGACGAUCCGUAGCUGGUCUGAGAGGAUGAUCAGCCACACUGGAACUGAGACACGGUCCAGACUCCUACGGGAGGCAGCGGUGGGGAAUAUUGGACAAUGGGCGCAAGCCUGAUCCAGCAAUGCCGCGUGUGUGAAGAAGGCCU